rnacentral:lncRNA from 13 species
UGUUGAUCCCCGUAUUCCUCCAUCUCCUACAGGCUGGAUCUCAAGUUGGGUCUGGAGAUGCACAACAUAAUGGUGUCUGAUGAUUAUGAAGAGUUCCUGGGUCGCCAGUGCAUUAUGGAUGAAGAGGAAUACAUGGAGGAUGACGGAGUGGUGAGAGCAGCCAGAAUCGUUGACUCAGAUCAGGAGGAAGUAGAAUCGACAGACGAGUGGCUGGAGCUACACCAGGAACUGAAGAACACCUUGGAGGAUGAAAUUCCACAAAAUAACUUUUGAAUUCUACCAUCUAAAAUUGAAUUGAAUUGAAUUCAACCAUCUAAAAAGAAGCGAUUCCUACACAUUCCAUCACAAAGCCCUCCCCUACAGAGAGAUGAACCCAGAGCAGAGGCCCCUCAGCCAGCUGGUUCUGGGGCUCUGUUCACAAACACAAACAGACCCCACAGAGUCCCAGAACAGCAACACAAUUAGACCCAACCAAGUUAUGAGGAAGCAAAAAGAUAACUAUUUGAAAUACUGGAAAUAAUCACCCCAAAAAACAGAAGAAAACUAGAAUGCAAUUUGGCCCUAAACAGAGAGUACACAGUGGCAGAUUAACUGACCACUGUGACUGACCCAAAAGUAUGUACAGACUCAGUGAGCAUAGCCUUGCUAUUGAGAAAGGUAGGCAGGCAGACCUGGCUCUCGAGAGAAGACAGGCUAUGUGCACACUGCCCACAAAAUGAGGUGGAAACUGAGCUGCACUUCCUAACCUCCUGCCCAAUGUAUGACCAUAUUAGAGACACAUAUUUCCCUCAGAUUACACAGAUCCACAAAGAAUUUGAAAACAAACUAAACAUGGAUGAACUCCCAUAUCUUCUAGGUGAAAUACCGCAGUGUGUAAUCACAGCAGC